rnacentral:tRNA from 1 species
GCCCGGGUGGUGGAAUUGGUAGACACGCUAGGUUCAGGGUCUAGUGUUCAUAAGAAUGUGCUGGUUCGAGUCCAGUCUCGGGCA